rnacentral:rRNA from 1 species
CAGUCGCCUCGGGAAUACAGAGGGUGCAAGCGUUAAUCGGAAUUACUGGGCGUAAAGCGCGCGUAGGUGGUUUGUUAAGUUGGAUGUGAAAGCCCCGGGCUCAACCUGGGAACUGCAUCCAAAACUGGCAAGCUAGAGUACGGUAGAGGGUGGUGGAAUUUCCUGUGUAGCGGUGAAAUGCGUAGAUAUAGGAAGGAACACCAGUGGCGAAGGCGACCACCUGGACUGAUACUGACACUGAGGUGCGAAAGCGUGGGGAGCAAACAGGAUUAGAUACCCGUGUAGUCCCUGUCUCUUAUAA